UUUUUUAAAGCUUAGGAGCAGUGAGUGUUGUUGUCUACUAUUUGCCUGUGUUGUUAUCUGCAGAUGCUGCUGGGAACUCAGUGGAUGGAUUCGAUCUGGGGGUCAGCUUGAAGAGGUCCCCAGAAGCGGAGCUGCUUGUCCAAAAGAUAUUGUCGUCCAAAGAUACCCCACGGGUAGUCGAGGACCCUGUGGAUCAACAGCAGAGCUGGGAACAUGAGCCAACUCCGAGGCUCUUCAGGGAAAUACUCUGUGAAACGUAACAAUAGAGAUUUUGGGGACGGGAGAGGAAGAAAGCAGGAAAUGUGAUGGGACUGUAUGAGAGCAGCAAGCACAGCAGGACCAGCAGCAGCCAGAAAGCAGGCUUAGCAGGGUGUUGCAAGGCUGGCAUGUUUGGCUCCUGCCUUGGCAAGCUUUGGGAACCUGAGUUAUAGCUGGAAAUUUCCCCUGGCUCGGGUUUCUGGGUCACCUGUGAUGCUCAGACUGUUGCUAGCAUCUGCAUUGGGGAGUAGAGCCUGACAUUACAGCUGUUGAGGUCCAAGACAGACACUACCAGCAACAGGCUCCCAAUAUUUUUGGCACACCCUUUCCCCACAUUUCUCCUCCUGUUCCCUCUUUGUCUCCUGUCUUCCUUCCCAACACUGGGGUACAAACAACUUCUUCACGUUAAGUUAACCUAACAGCUAACACCUGAAGCAAAAAAUGUAUACUUGAAAGACCUCCAACCUCAGUGUGUUUUUCCUUCAUCCAGCACAAAUGUGCAUGACCAGAUGGACCAGAUACGCAUUCUCUGCCCCCCCACGCACCACACCUGAGCAGUCUCUCCAGAUGUGUUCAGAAGUCUGAACAACCCAGGACAGCCCAGCACAACCCUCCUCAGCAUCGCGGGGGCCAUCCUUCAUCUCCUUAGUCAUGCUGUCCCUCCACAGUGAGACAUCCCCCUGCUGAUCCUUCCUCCUGCUUCACACACUUGCUUUUCUGCAGAAGUCCCUCUGGGUAUCAUGUUAUCAGUAGAUCACAUCUGAAUUUUGCACCUGUGAAUGUGAGGCUCGUGUCUCUUACUUGCCAAGUCCAUCUCAGAUGGCUGGGGGGUCAGGGCAGCCACAUCCCCCUGCACCUCCAACCCCCAAGCCCCCACAGCCCGCACUGCCAGAGCUGCCAGGAGCCGGGGCAGGAGGACAGUUUUGUUAGCAUUAGUACUGAAGCAGCAUUUUAAGCCAGUCACAGCCAAGGCUGGGUUUUUCACAACAAAAAUUUGGAUUUAGAGCGUGGACUCCCUCCUGAAUCCUGGAAAACCCGCUGCCUGGUGGAUGCCUAAUUCUGCAAGUAGGUCACGCCUGCUCUCUGCCUCUGGGUAUGACAGAGACAUGACAGGUCUAAAUAAUAAAUCUUAUCUCCUCUCUCUUUGAUGUGAGAUGUCACUAAGAUGUUCCCUGCCAUUCACUUUUCAUUUCUCCUCUUCCUUUUCUGUAAAACUCUGCUGACACACCAGUUAAUGAAUGAUAAGACAUUUCUAGGUCCCACCAGCUUUGGCAGCACACAGUCCCCCUCGCCAGCCUCUGACGUGGCCCUUUGCAUUGCCCUGCUGUGGGAGAACCAGCUGGCAGGACCAUGGUGUCCAGUGUGCAGAGCCCCAAAGCUGACAGCCCUCUGCCUAUAAAAGAAUCACAAGUUGCACUUACUGCUUGUGUAAGGAUGUGUGCAUGCAUAUGCACGGUCUUUACAUCAAAAUGCUGCUUGUGUAUGACACCACGGAUAACAUCUCAUCCCGUCCUCUUACAGUCUCCAGCUCAUCACUCUGUAAAGAGUUGCAGACCUAAGCUUUAAUAAAGUUGGGAGUUGAAAGCUGUGCAAGGGAAUCCCAUUAACAGAAGCUGUGUCAAUGCCAUUGGCGGCUCAAAUGCUAAGAUACAAUGCAUAUAUGGUUUCCUACUCUUGCAUUUACUGAUAUGUAUUCAGCUGGGUCUUUGUCAGAAAGGUUUCAGCUUUUACAGGGAGUCUUUCAAAGACCUUGCCCUAAUUAUGAAGCAAUUCCAGUGACAAUUUUAAUUAUGGGUGAGUUUUACAUAAGUCUUUUUGAUACGUGUUGUUAUGACAUGUAAAAUUUUAUCUUUGCCAGUUGCAGUGAAUUAUGUAAGAUCUUUGUUUUGCAUUUGUCAGGGUAAUUUGAAAACAUUGCAGAUUUAACAAAUGCACUUUCAAAGGACCCAAUCCAGCACACAGCUGUGAUAGCAGAGAUAAGCUUCAUAACUUUAUUAAAUUUCUAUUAAAUUAUAUAAGCUAUCAGACAUGUUUAUGUGACGGUGUUAAAGCUGCAAAGUCAAGCAUGCAAGGAGUAGGAAAAGUCUUAUCCUGAAACGCAGCCCCUUUCCUGGCUUCCAGUGGUGGCUCAUUAUAUGAUCAAAUGCUGUUUUAUUCCAUAGGGGCCCAGCCUCAGUUGCUGAACAGACUGCCUGAUGCAAAUCAAUGGGCAGCAAUUCAAAAAUCUGUUUUCUUCCCGUCAUUCAGUGUGUGGGCCCCAGCCCUUGUUUACUGCAUACUGCUUAGCCUUGCUGUAAAGAUGAAAUACUGUUUCCGCCUGGGUUUUUCCAUGACACUCAUUACUGCGGUGUUGUUUAUUUCACAUGCAAACUAUUAAUUAAUUUGUCUCUGUGAAGCCCAGUAAGGCACGGGAGAAGCAUUAUCACUUUAUAGAUAAGGAACAGAGACACAGAAAGAGUCAAGUCAAGAAUGUCAAUUAAUUUGGGAUGUUCAACUCGAGAUGCUCAAGAGCUGAUACCUCCACGCAUGUCUUAUUUAUUUGUCUGCUUUAGCGCUGCUGUGCCUUUCAGCAUCUAAAGGGCAGGACCACAGAAGACAGCUGCUGCCUGACCAGAGAGGCUGCCCAAAGCACUUCCCUGAGCACAGGAAACAGCAGCAAGACAGAAGUGAAGGGCAGAAGAUGCCAGAAUGCAUGCAACUUCUUGGCCAACAUUUGCACAGGC